CCUGGCGGCCUUAGCGCGGUGGUCCCACCUGACCCCAUGCCGAACUCAGAAGUGAAACGCCGUAGCGCCGAUGGUAGUGUGGGGUCUCCCAUGCGAGAGUAGGGAACUGCCAGGC
rnacentral:rRNA from 2 species